GCGAUUGAAUCUAACUGAUUAUGUGUGUCAGAAUAACACCGAAUGCAUUGAUUUUCAUGACACAGUUGGAGGCUAUCUCUGCAAUUGUUCCAUUGGAUACCGAGGCAAUCCUUACCUUAGCCCAGGCUGCCAAGAAAUUAAUCAAUGCGCCGAUAAUACAACAAACACAUGCCUCGCAAAUUCGAUUUGCGUUAAAACCCCUGGUUCUUAUAAUUGCUCAUGUCCCAAAGGGUAUAUUGGUGAUGGGAGGAAAGAUGGCGCAGGGUGUAUUAAGCUUCCACCAUCCAAGACCAAGAUGAUAAGUUUAAUAGGUGUGGGUUCUGGAUUGGGGUUUCUGCUUUUGCUUAUAGCAUGUUUUUGGUUGUUCAAAGCGUUGCAAA